GUACACGAAGUAUUUUAAGUACCCUUUAGUUACAUUAAAGUAGUCUCAUUCUCUGAGCGUGUAUA
rnacentral:tRNA from 1 species